AGAUUGAACGCUGGCGGCAUGCCUAACACAUGCAAGUCGAACGGGAGUAGCAAUACUCUGGUGGCGGACGGGUGAGGAAUACGUAGGAAUUUGCCCUUAAGUGGGGGAUAACCCGGGGGAAACCCGGAUUAAUACCGCAUGACCUCGAAAGAGCAAAGUGGGGGAUCGCAAGACCUCACGCUUUUGGAGAAGCCUACGUCGGAUUAGCUAGUUGGUGAGGUAAUGGCUCACCAAGGCGACGAUCCGUAACUGGUCUGAGAGGAUGAUCAGUCACACGACUGAGACACGGUCGACUCCGUACGGGAGCAGCGAGUGGGAAUGUGGACAAGUGGGCGCAAGCCUAGGAUCCAGCAAUGACCGCGUGUG
rnacentral:rRNA from 1 species